CCACUUUUGGCAACAACGAUCACAUGCAUCAACACAUCCGGUAGGGUGCUUGAAUUAAAUCAGGUUACCGUUUGGGAUGCGUGGUAGUUAUCAAC
rnacentral:sRNA from 1 species